UUCUUUCUCUCCCCCUCACUCUGUUGGAUCCAUGACGGAAGAAGGAGAAGAGAAGGAGAGAUCACUAAGAGUUCCUCCAUUAACAAUCAGUCUCCUUUCUUCCUUCUUUUUUUCCUCUUCCCUUCCUCUAUUCCUCGAUGCACAAAUUUAGAGCUCAAGAUCUAGAUUUCUAGAAGAAAUCUCAACAAGUAGCAGCGCCACGACUUGGGGUUGCUUGCUUAUUUCUAGAUUCUCUGGGUUCCCAAGUUUCAAAAAGAAAAAUGUGGACAAGAACAGGUGGGAGGGUGGCUUGGAUAGUGGAAGCGUUUAGUCCAGUGAAGGAAGAGAAGGUGGAGGCGGAGAAAUGGGAGGUGAGCCUUGACAGGAUGCUGGUUCAGAUACGCAAUGCAUACGGCGACACUAUCAGUGCAUCUAUCCCCACCAUCCACGUUAAGGUCAAAUAAUGUGUCGUCUACCACGAGACUAACAUCAGUACCUAGGCCACCUUUGGGAAGAUGAAGAAGGAGCUAUCGGCCAGGACAGGACUACAUCCGUUGGACAUGAAGUUGAUGUAUAAGGAAAAGGAGAGGGCAUCAGCGGCUUUCCUCGAUGCUAUUGAUGUCAAGGACAGGUCUAAAAUAUUAUUGAUGGAGGAUCCGAUGGUCAAGGCAAAGCGUCUCCUUGAGAUGCGAAAGACUGACAAAAUUGACAAGGCUGCAAAGUCUUUCUUCGCAAUCCACCUCAAGGGUUUCAACAAAGACUUCAGCGAGAUGGAAGCGGCAAGAUACUUGUGCUGCAAAAGGUUGGAACCGUCAACCUAGCGGCUCCCUCAACCCGGCCCCACAAGUAUGAGAGGGAGUAAAUCACGAUGAAUACGAACCCAGCUAUGACAUGGCGGUCUUAGGUAUUUAGCACGGACAGAGGAAGCGGCAAGAUACUUGAGUUGGCAGGAGGUGGUGGCGUUGAACGGAAAGGGGCGCUGGGUGGUGCACUACUACCUCAAGGGUGCCAUCGGUGGUGAGCCUAGAGAAGAGCUCACAAACCAAAGUGUUAAGUGAAUUUGGAGCAGAUGAGAUUUUGCAGCUAAACAACACUGGUGCUUUAGCACUUCAUGGCUUAAAAACCUGACAACUGUUGAUAAUCUAUUAUUUAAGUCACAUAUGUU